AGACACAACACAACCCUAUCCGCCGCCACGACCCACCCGGCCCUCGUUCACCCAAGCUUUUGGGGCGGCGCUCCCGAGCUCGCCCUUCCUUCACCCCCUACCACCACUCAGCGAGCGGAAUGCUACUACUCUGGCCUCUCCUCGACCACGCUCUCUCCCGCUGCACGUUUAUGGCUAUCCCCCACCGCCACUCCACCACGGCCUUCCCCUACCACCGCGCGUCCUUCACCCCACCACCGCGCCGCCAUGGUGUACUCUUCACUGCCUGGCCUCCGUCCCUCCUCCGUGUCUGAUCUGGAGACAACGAGGCGCUGCCCUUCGUCGACGAGGAUUUUAAACUAGCCGUCCAGCGUGACCCGUGGAUGGACGGCCUCGCCGUGGUCGGCGCGCGUGAGAUCCUGCGGUGAACCAAUCCAAGAAGCCGACGGAUCUGACUGCGGGAUCGCCAGAGCUGGCCUCGGGGUCGCCAGAUCUGGCCAUGUGGUCGCCGGAUCUGGCCAUGUGGUCGCCGGACCACGACUUCACCCAGCCAUGCCGCAUCUCACUUUUACCCUUCUUCCACUCUCGGUUUCUUUCUUUCUUUCUAACUCUUUUUUCUCUCUUAAUCUCUUUCUGCAGGUGUAACCCUGCACGUAUACGGCUUCUCGGACCUCGGCUACAGCGGAUGGUGUAGCUUCCUGGCCGGCACAUAGGGCGACGCCGUGAGGAUCUUGUACGCAAACUUCCCCAUCAACGGAUCUACCUCAGGUGCACAUGCGUGCUGCUUAGGAUAUAUGGCCUGCUUCUGGACAGCAAGCGAUUGGAUUAGGAACCCGAAGAUGGCACUCUCAUGCUUGGGACCCUUUGGCCAGAUCUUCCGCCUAGGGCCAAGGGAUACUACACCGGCCUUGACGUCUUCCGCAAGGAGGCCCAGAAUUGUGUCUGCCUCCAGGGUGAUGGUCCUGGUUCGUGAAGGACUCAAUCAUAGCAUGCCAAGUUGAGGAUGUGAACGCUUUGGAGGCAGCCGCUGUGACAAAGGAUAAAAGGAUGCCUGAAGAAUGAAGAUAGUGCAGCACCGUUUCAGUUGAUAUGGUCUGCAUGUUUUGCUGCCUGUGUAUAACUGUUAUUGAUUUCUGUUCUAAACGUGUUGCUGUAAACUCUUUUGAAUUUGUGUUGUGAGUCUGUAAC